GGCGGGAUCCCUGAAAACCGGUCUCAGUUCGGAUCGCAGUCUGCAACUCGACUGCGUGAAGGUGGAGUCGCUAGUAAUCGCGGAUCAGCAACGCCGCGGUGAAUGCGUUCCCGGGCCUUGUACACACCGCCCGUCAAGUCAUGAAAGUGGGCAGCACCCGAAGACGGUGGCCUAACCCUUGUGGGGGGAGCCGUCUAAGGUGAGGCUCGUGAUUGGGACUAAGUCGUAACAAGGUAAC
rnacentral:rRNA from 1 species